GACGAACGCUGGCGGCGUGCUUAACACAUGCAAGUCGAGCGGAAAGGCCUGCUUUCCCUUGUGGAUUGCGGGUACUCGAGUGGCGAACGGGUGAGUAACACGUGAGUGAUCUGCCCCCAACUUGGGUAUAAGCCUGGGAAACUGGGUCUAAUUCCCGAUAGGACUGCAGGGUGGUGCCUGCGGUGGAAAACGAUUUUCUAGUGGUUGGGGAUGAGCUCGCGGCCUAUCAGCUUGUUGGUGGGGUAAUGGCCUACCAAGGCGGCGACGGGUAGCCGGCCUGAGAGGGUGGACGGCCACAUUGGGACUGAGAUACGGCCCAGACUCCUACGGGAGGCAGCAGUGGGGAAUAUUGCACAAUGGGCGGAAGCCUGAUGCAGCGACGCCGCGUGGGGGAUGACGGCCUUCGGGUUGUAAACUCCUUUCGACCGCGAGGAAGCCACCUGGUUGGAAGGGUGGUGACGGUAGUGGUAGAAGAAGCACCGGCUAACUACGUG
rnacentral:rRNA from 1 species